ensembl:misc_RNA 7SK 7SK RNA
GGAUGUGAGGGCGAUCUGGCUGCGACAUCUGUCACCCCAUUGAUCGCCAGGGUUGAUUCGGCUGAUCUGGCUGGCUAGGCGAUGUCCCCUUCCUCCUUCACCGCUCCAUGUGCAUCCCUCCCGAAGCUGCGCGCUCGGUCGAAGAGGACGACCUUCCCCGAUAGAGGAGAGGACCGUUCUUCCGUCAAGGGUAUAUGAGUAGCUGCACUCCCCUGUUAGAACCUCCAAACAAGCUCUCAAGAUAAUGAUAGCAGAGACGAAGAGUAAAUUAAUAAUUUAAUUUAUUAAUUAAUAAAAUAAUUUAUAUAAAAUUUUUAUAUUUUAU